GGCCGUGUGGCGUAAUGGCAACGCGUCUGACUACGACUGUUCGCUUGUACUUGCCGUAAUCAGGAGAUUGCAGGUUCGACCCCUGUCUUGGUCA